UACGAAUAAAUGUACAACAUAAUAACUUCUUGACUUGUAUUUGCAUUUGCAUUCGGGUGAGGUUCAUACUUCAAAAUUGUCCAGGCCCAAGUAAUCUGCCCUAACUAGCUAGCUGCUGGGCUGAGUACUUGAGCCCAACAAACUAAAAAGGCGAUUUAUUUAAAGUAACAUUCAUACGUCGUCGUUCUGCUCUCUGUAAACCCUAGAAUUCUCCACAAUCCAAAAUCAAAAUAUGUCAGACCACAUACCCUUCGAAAUCCAGUCGGAAAUCAUGAAGACGCUUCCUCUAAAAUCGUUGAUUCGAUUCCAAUCGGUCUGCAAAUCAUGGAAGUCUCGGAUCCACAGCUCUGAUUUCAUUGCACAUUAUACUGGCCAGCAGCAACAUCUGCUUGUAAGAGUUUGUGUGACUGUUCCCCCAUUGGUUAACGACCUUGAAAAUCAUGUGAUCUUAGUCGGCAGCUCUCACGGCUUGCUGUGUUUCCAACGUCGUCAUCCGCCCAGAGACAGGGCUGUUAUUUGGAAUCCUAGUAUUAGAAAAGCGGUUGCUGUCGAUGUGCCUCAUGUGACAGAUUUGAACGCAUAUCGAACCGCUCUAGGGUUUGGGGUUUGUCGUGAGUAGGCCUGUAAACGAACCGAACGUUCAGCGAACAGUUCGUGAACCGUUCCGCGGGAAGUUCGUUUAUGUUCGUUCGUUUAAUAAACGAACGAACAUGAACAAGAAAUUUCGUUCAAUUAGUUAAAUGAACGAACAUGAACAGUGGUCUCGUUCGUUCGAUUGUGUUCGUGGACGUUCGGUAAGGUGUUCGUGAACAUGUUCAUGAACAUUCAUUGAUUUGCGUUCGUUUAUGUUCGUAUGUUUGUGUUUUAAUUGAAGAUCUUUGUACUUUUUUAUAUUUUAUUUGUACUUUUCAUAUUAUUAAACUUCUAUAUAUUUUAUUACCCUAACAAUUAAACUAGGAAACCCACUUUCACCUUGUUUAUGCAUUAUUUCUCUUUCAUUUCUUAUUAUUUACAUCGGCGAAUACGAUCGACCUCCGUUCCACAAUAAGGGAUUCAAGUUCGAGUGCUACUCUCUGGGCUAUCUAUCUUUAUCCUUUGUCGCGUUCUCCAAAUUUAUUUGUGUUUGUUUGUGUUCGUGAACCGUUCGCGAACACGAACAUAAAAUCUCGUUCGGUAAGUGUUCAUGAACCGUUCGUGAACACAUUUAUUUCCUUAACGAACGAACACAGACAAGGCCUUGUUCGUGUUCGUUCGGUUCGUUUACAGCCCUAGUCGUGAGACUACAAACCCUAAGAUUGUCACCGUCACACGUUCUGAAAGUUUAAACCCUUGGCAAGUUGAGGUGUUUACUUUAAGCACAAGGGCUUGGAGAAGUCCAUAUAGCACCAAUCUCCCGAGUAACAGUUAAUUUUUUUUGGGUUACCGGUAGUUGUAGAUGGAUGUCUUUAUUGGCUUACUUGGGAUUAUGCUACAUUUACGACUUGUGGUUUGAUUAUCUCGUUUGAUAUGACAAGUGAAGAGUUUGGAGAAGUAAACCUUCCGGAUGGUUUAGCCCACCAUGAAUGUAGUUUGUCCAUGGAUAAGCUAAGGGAGUCCCUUGUUGUGGUUGAAGUCUGUCAUGAGGCCAAUAAACGAGUUUACCAUGUAUGGAUGAUAGUGGAUGGUGUUCCAAAAUCGUUUCAGAAGCUCUACACUAUCAGUACUCACCCACCAAAUGUAUUAAUACGUGUAGUGGGAUUUCGGAAGACAGGUGAACCAUUAAUUGUGUUGCAAACUCAUCUUGGCUCCGCUAACAACAUACUUGCUGCCUAUGAACCCUACUCCAACAUACUUGCUGCCUAUGAACCCUACUCUAAAUCCAUCAAUAAUCUUGGGAUUAAUGAAAGAAAGACUAUUUAUUAUAAUGUGUAUUCCUACAUGGAAACGCUAAUUCUUCUUUGAUUCGCCUGUUAUUACAUUUAUGAAAAAAGGUAAUGGCCAAAUAGCAAAGUGGAUGGUUAAGGACGGAAGGCUUUUGAAGCAUACAAGCAGGUUAUAAUAUUUUUUUCAUAUUUUUUUUUUGUUAAUUAUUCAUAUUAGCAAAGUUAGUAUUUGUCCAUUGUUCCAAGAUUAUUGUCGUUUUUGUAAUUAUGUGAAUCAUUUAUAAUUCAUCCUGUGUUCAAGAUAAGGUUUGGUACUUUUCUUAUGGUAAAACUUCCAGCCAUUAUGAUCUUUGUUCAUGGGAGUACAUGAUUCUUGAAAUCAAUUGGUAGGCCGUUGGAGCCUUGAUCCA